GACGAACGCUGGCGGCGUGCUUAACACAUGCAAGUCGAACGGAAAGGCCCUGCUUUUGUGGGGUGCUCGAGUGGCGAACGGGUGAGUAACACGUGAGUAACCUGCCCUUGACUUUGGGAUAACUUCAGGAAACUGGGGCUAAUACCGGAUAGGAGCUCCUGCUGCAUGGUGGGGGUUGGAAAGUUUCGGCGGUUGGGGAUGGACUCGCGGCUUAUCAGCUUGUUGGUGGGGUAGUGGCUUACCAAGGCUUUGACGGGUAGCCGGCCUGAGAGGGUGACCGGCCACAUUGGGACUGAGAUACGGCCCAGACGCCUACGGGAGGCAGAAGUGGGGAAUAUUGCACAAUGGGCGGAAGCCUGAGGCAGCAACGCCGCGUGCGGGAUGACGGCCUUCGGGUUGUAAACCGAUUUCGCCUGUGACGAAGCGUGAGUGACGGUAAUGGGUAAAGAAGCACCGGCUAACUACGUG
rnacentral:rRNA from 1 species